UGGGGAAUAUUGGACAAUGGGCGCAAGCCUGAUCCAGCCAUGCCGCGUGAGUGAUGAAGGCCCUAGGGUUGUAAAGCUCUUUCACCGGUGAAGAUAAUGACGGUAACCGGAGAAGAAGCCCCGGCUAACUUCGUGCCAGCAGCCGCGGUAAUACGAAGGGGGCUAGCGCUGUUCGGAUUUACUGGUCGUAAAGCGCACGUAGGCGGACUAUUAAGUUAGGGGUGAAAUCCCGGGGCUCAACCCCGGAACUGCCUUUGAUACUGGUAGUCUUGAGUUCGAGAGAGGUGAGUGGAAUUCCGAGUGUAGAGGUGAAAUUCGUAGAUAUUCGGAGGAACACCAGUGGCGAAGGCGACUCACUGGCUCGAUACUGACGCUGAGGUGCGAAAGCGUGGGGAGCAAACAGG
rnacentral:rRNA from 1 species